GACGGAUGGGGCUAGCGUUAUUGGUCAUUACUGGGCGUAAAGGGUAUGUAGGUCGUUUAUUACUUGUUUUGUGAAAUGCUUAGGUCUAACUUUUUCAUAUUGCAUUUUUAAAGGAUAUAACUAGAGUUUAAUUAAAGUUUGCAGAAUUCUUAAGGAAGGGGUAAUAUCCUUAGAACUUAAGAGGAAUAUCGAAGGCGAAGGCAGCAUUCUAAAUUAAUCUGACGCUGAGGUACUAAGGCGUGGGGAGCAAACAGG
rnacentral:rRNA from 1 species